rnacentral:rRNA from 1 species
AUUGAACGCUGGCGGCAUGCCUUACACAUGCAAGUCGAACGGCAGCACGGGUGCUUGCUCCUGGUGGCGAGUGGCGAACGGGUGAGUAAUACAUCGGAACAUGUCCUGUAGUGGGGGAUAGCCCGGCGAAAGCCGGAUUAAUACCGCAUACGAUCUACGGAUGAAAGCGGGGGACCUUCGGGCCUCGCGCUAUUGGGUUGGGCGAUGGCUGAUUAGCUAGUUGGUGGGGUAAAGGCCUACCAAGGCGACGAUCAGUAGCUGGUCUGAGAGGACGACCAGCCACACUGGGGCUGAAACACGGCCCAGAGUCCUACGGGAGGCAGCAGUGGGGAAUUUUGGACAAUGGGCGAAAGCCUGAUCCAGCAAUGCCGCGUGUGUGAAGAAGGCCUUCGGGUUGUAAAGCACUUUUGUCCGGAAAGAAAUCCUUGGCCCUAAUACGGUCGGGGGAUGACGGUACCGGAAGAAUAAGCACCGGCUAACUACGUG